AUGAACGCUGGCGGCGUGCCUAAUACAUGCAAGUAGAACGCUGAAGGCAGGAGCUUGCUCUUUCCGGAUGAGUUGCGAACGGGUGAGUAACGCGUAGGUAACCUGCCUGGUAGCGGGGGAUAACUAUUGGAAACGAUAGCUAAUACCGCAUAACAGUAGAUGUUGCAUGAUAUCUACUUAAAAGGUGCAAUUGCACCACUACCAGAUGGACCUGCGUUGUAUUAGCUAGUUGGUGAGGUAACGGCUCACCAAGGCGACGAUACAUAGCCGACCUGAGAGGGUGAUCGGCCACACUGGGACUGAGACACGGCCCAGACUCCUACGGGAGGCAGCAGUAGGGAAUCUUCGGCAAUGGACGGAAGUCUGACCGAGCAACGCCGCGUGAGUGAAGAAGGUUUUCGGAUCGUAAAGCUCUGUUGUAAGAGAAGAACGAGUGUGAGAGUGGAAAGUUCACACUGUGACGGUAUCUUACCAGAAAGAGACGGCUAACUACGUG
rnacentral:rRNA from 1 species